UACGUAGGGUGCGAGCGUUGUCCGGAAUUAUUGGGCGUAAAGAGCUCGUAGGCGGUUUGUCGCGUCGACUGUGAAAACCUACAGCUUAACUGUGGGCUUGCAGUCGAUACGGGCAGACUUGAGUUCGGUAGGGGAGACUGGAAUUCCUGGUGUAGCGGUGAAAUGCGCAGAUAUAAGGAGGAACACCGGUGGCGAAGGCGGGUCUCUGGGCCGAUACUGACGCUGAGGAGCGAAAGCGUGGGGAGCGAACAGG
rnacentral:rRNA from 1 species